AUGUCAACACAUGCGGUGAAUCCCCAAACUGACCUGACGAUUGGUGGUAACCACACGUCGCCUCCAUUGAGGAUCAAUGAGGCUUCUAGUCUGAGCAAUCCUAUGAACUCCCUGAUGUUCUUCGACGCCUUUUCAAGUGCUUUCACUGUGCUCUCCAGCUUGUCCUCAGCGCUAGAGAAGAGCGCCACCGAAGCGGUGCGGAUGCAUCAUGCCAUGCUGGACCACACAUUUCUCGUGAAAUACAGUGGUAAUACCAGCACCAUGCUGGUCAUCAUUGUUCCAGUGAGUGGCUUUGUCUGUUGCAUGAUGUUUGAACCUGAGAAGCACCUCGUCACCAUGGGCGGCAGCCUCCUUGAGCUUCUCCAGCCACUGGACCAGCGUGGUACUUUUUAUGGUCUGCUUCGCUCACACCUCGACCGCGCUGCGAAUCCUCAUGAGGAGCAGCUUCUCAUCAGCGGCCAUCUGCCAGUUGAAGUUCUACAUGAACUUGGACACUGCCCUGUCCUGUCACCACGGCGGCCACUGCUGCGGCAAUGGUGGCAACCACUUGUGCCAUGGCUAGCUCUCAAACAAGGUUGGUUUCAACCAAGAAGGGUGCUGCUGCCAUGCUUCAGCGGGCAAAAAGGCCACGUUAGGAACAUGAGGCUAAUAUGGAAGACUCGUGUUUGGCUUAACAUGGGAUGGAAUUGGUGA
rnacentral:rRNA from 1 species